rnacentral:misc_RNA from 1 species
ACCCACACACGUGCAUGGGA